ensembl:lncRNA
UACAGGACCAGUUUGACCAGAAGAUUGGAAGACACACAUGCCUCUUUUCCACCCACACAGAGCUGCUGAGGAUCCAGUUCUCUCACAUACUUCAAAAGCCUUAAGAAGAGAUAGAAGAGAUUAUUAUCCAGCAUUAGUAUCUGAAUCUGGAAUCAUUUCUAUGGAAACUAGACUUUCAGCUUAAUUUAAACCUUAAAUGUAAUCUCAGGUAGUCAGGUUUAAACUCAGGUUCAGUUAUUCACUGAAAGUACCAACAGACUCAGACAUUUAGAACAAACUAAGAUCAUCGGUGCUGGAGGAAAUGUCUGCUGUGGCUGCAUCACUCUGCUCAACUUUGCUGUUAUUCAGCCUCUGCAUGUUUACCUCUGCAGACCGGAAAAUCAUCACAGCUGAGUCUGGACAGGAUGUCACUCUAAUAUGUCGAGCUCCAAACAACAACAUCAUAGAAGCUGUUAAGUGGACCAGACCAGGCCUGGAGACAGGAAAUGUCCUUUUGUACCCCGAUGAUUACUUUGAUUCAUCCAACCAGCAUCCAUCUUUUAAGAACCGGGUGGAUCUGCAGGACAAACAGAUGAAGGAUGGAGACGUGUCUUUGAUUCUGAAGAAUGUGACGAUUAAUGAUUCUGCAACAUACGAGUGUCGUGUCUUCAUGGAAGAAACACGCUCAUGGGAGCUCAUCAGGAUCAUCCACCUGAGAGUUGUUCCUCCAGGUCAGCCAAGAGGAGUCACAGAGGAUGGAGGGAAGAAGGAUGGAAGGAAGAAGGAUGAAUCUGUUGGACUAAUAAAUCUACUUUUCCUGGUAGUUUCUGCUGUGCCCGUUGUUGUUAGUGGUAGUAUUACUGUAGUUGUUGGUGUUAUUUUUCUUCCUGUUUUUAUGAUGUGCAAAUAUUGUAAUGACAAGGGUUCAUACAAGGUACCUGAACGUGAUUACAUCUAGUGAUCAACUAUCCUACAUUCAUCAGCAGAUGAAUUUAGAUGUCAGACAUUCAGAAAACACAAACACUGUAUGUGAUGAUCUGGGUUUAGAUGAAGUUCUGUGGCUUAUAUAUGAUCAAUAAUGUGCCUGAUAAUGUUCAGGAUCUAUUGAUCAGCUAUGACUGGAUGACAUUUGGCACAGUUUGGGAAUUAUAAGGGUCGUAUAAAGAAUUGUAUAAAAUGCUUCAAAGCAGAGUUGUUGUUGUUUUUUUUUAUCUUGAUCUAAACUAUGACUCUUUCCUCCUCGAGUGCAGCAACUCUGUGUGACAAUCCCCUCUUUAGGUGAAGGGUUUUUUUUCUUUUUUAAUUAACAAGUUUGCAUAAUCAUUUAAGUCAGUUCAGUUUAUCAAAGGUUGAAUCUUAUAGAGUGUUUAAAGUGUUUUAUGAAAGUAAAGAUCCAUGUAGUUGUACACUGACACGUUUCUCUCCUUCUGAUCUCUCGAUAACCUCUUAUCUAACCUUUGUUACAAGAAAGCUAUAUAAUAUAAAUUCUGUGACAUUCUUCAUCAUGUGCAGCAUUGCUUAAACUUUUUCCAUUUUUAAUUCUUUUUCAAUAAAUAUUUACAUGUAAACCAAAUGAACGUCCUUUUUUGUGCAUGUUUUUGUGAUGUACUAUGAUUUGAAAGCUUUUAUUUAUUUAUUUUAAAUGAGAAAGUGAAGUGUAUCAGAGAUCUUUGUGAACUUUUCCUGGUAAUAACCUUGUAAUAAUAAUAAAAAUAAUAACA